ACAGCAGCGUGGGGAGCGAGCUCUGCCGGACAACCCGCUGCUCUGCAAACCACUGAGGCUCUACAGGAACUCGCUUUGCCUCUAUCUCCUUUUAUUCCACACCCCACCCUCCCGCCGCUCCCCCUUCCUGACAUUCUUUCCCUUCCUGGAAUGGGCCACCUGACGCCAGUGUCUUUGGGACCCCGAGUCUGCAUUCCUGGCAAGCCCGCAGGUGAAUCAGAUAGCAUUAAAACCCGAGAACCACCGCCGUCAGGUACGUUGGGAACCCAAGCCUUGAGCCCCAGAGACGGAAACUCUGUUCCAGAGUUCCCAGGAUGACGAAUGACACAUCCGGGAGGAUCAAACCGGUCCGAGAAUCAUGAAAAUCCCUUGACAGAAGGUGCAAGAGAGCUAGAUGGCUGUUGAUGAAUCAGUAAGGAUAUAAGGAAGAAUUACGGUGAAAUGAACGGAGGACGGAGACAGUCUUCAAUGCCACCCGUGUCCUGAAAACCGUGUAGUCGGCUUAUGUAGCAUCACACGCUGGUAAAUGUCUUCUGCCUUCCCGAGUGUGCUCCAGUGUUUGUCAGGACCCGGACAAAGUUGGCGUCAAUGAUGGAUGCCAGUCACAUCUGGGGAGGUCAGAGGUCAGGGAGGGAAGGGGGGGUGGGGCCCAACAUCCCAGGUUGUGUUGUGUUGUGCUAACCUCAAUUUCCAGGAAAUGACUUCAGGAUGAGUAAAAAGUUUGUUGGCCCUCAGUAGAGUCACAAUGAAUUGAAAUAAAAUGAAUGAAUGAA